rnacentral:rRNA from 1 species
UACGGGGGGGGCAAGCGUUGUUCGGAUUCAUUGGGCGUAAAGGGUGCGUAGGCGGCGCGGCAAGUCGGGUGUGAAAUCUCGGGGCUUAACUCCGAAACUGCAUUCGAUACUGCCGUGCUUGAGGACUGGAGAGGAGACUGGAAUUUACGGUGUAGCGGUGAAAUGCGUAGAUAUCGUAAGGAAGACCAGUGGCGAAGGCGGGUCUCUGGACAGUUCCUGACGCUGAGGCACGAAGGUCAGGGGAGCAAACGGG